rnacentral:rRNA from 1 species
GAUGAACGCUGGCGGCGUGCCUAAUACAUGCAAGUCGAGCGAACAGAUGAGAAGCUUGCUUCUCUGAUGUUAGCGGCGGACGGGUGAGUAACACGUGGGUAACCUACCUAUAAGACUGGGAUAGCUCCGGGAAACCGGGGCUAAUACCGGAUAGUAUUUUGAACCGCAUGGUUCAAUAGUGAAAGACGGUUUCGGCUGUCACUUAUAGAUGGACCCGCGCCGUAUUAGCUAGUCGGUAAGGUAACGGCUUACCAAGGCGACGAUACGUAGCCGACCUGAGAGGGUGAUCGGCCACACUGGAACUGAGACACGGUCCAGACUCCUACGGGAGGCAGCAGUAGGGAAUCUUCCGCAAUGGGCGAAAGCCUGACGGAGCAACGCCGCGUGAGUGAUGAAGGUCUUCGGAUCGUAAAACUCUGUUGUUAGGGAAGAACAAAUUUGUUAGUAACUGAACAAGUCUUGACGGUACCUAACCAGAAAGCCACGGCUAACUACGUGCCAGCCGCCGCAGUAA